UGGCGGGGGGGGGUGGGGGGGGGGGUGGGUCACGUGGCGGAAAUGUGGCCUCUCGCCAACCCCAGCCUGCCUCAAACCGGAAGUUUAUGUGGUUGCCUGGGAGACCGGACUUCGCCCUAGGGCCCGGGCAUCACACACAGCUGAGCCCACAGAGGCCCCGCGAGCGGGCGCCGCGUGGCGGAGUGAGCUGAAGCUGCAGCCUGGAACCCGAUCGAUCGUGAGGAAAGACGCGGCCACACUGUCCCGAGGAAAUGCGGACCGAGGUUUGCAAGCCACUUGUCAGAACAAAGCACUUAAGAAAUUUUACUGAUAUCGUGGCCCCCUUUACUACUUGGACUCCCUUGCCUUUCGAUCUCAGAAUCACCACUAGCUCCUUUCUGAUUAAGCAAGAAUUGAUUAAGCAGGGCUUUUAGUUGGACACUGAAAGCUGAGAUGCAGAUAGUGAUUCUGGAAGAGGGGUAGUAAUGCGCCCAAACGUGCCCAUCCUGGAACCCUUGGUCUACACAGGCAUAUAAUCUGCGAUCCGGCCAAAGAGCAGCCGUCCGACUCCUGAAGUGAUGCCAAUGCACAUGAGAACCACCUCUUUAUUUUUUCCAUCUUGAAAUCUUUCAUUCACAUAUUUCAUCUGUGGACCAUCAAGAAAGAAGCAACACUAAAUACGGAGGACCUGAACCAAACUGACACUCCUGAAACAGCUGGAGUGGAGCUUCCAGGAUAAAGCAGAAGUACAUAAAUAUCUUAUUUAAAAGUCAUACUCUUCAGAGGAGCCAGGCUCAAGCCCUGGCCAUACCAGCUACCAGCCUUGCAUGAUUGCCUAUCUCACAGUGUGGCCCUGAGACUCCAGUGAAAGAUAACGUUUGUGGGAACUUCUUGUAUGUCAAACGUCAAUAAAAAGGUGGGAAAUCAGUAAAUGUUGCAUGUGUUUAAGAAACUGGUGGUUUUAAGCAAAUCCUUCCAUGGCUGUGAGGACUGGACACGCUGAAUCCUAAACCACAUGCUCGGGAGCUCUGGACGCGGCAGCUGU